rnacentral:rRNA from 1 species
CGAGUUUGAUCCUGGCUCAGGACGAACGCUAGCGGUGUGCCUAAUACAUGCAAGUCGAACGGUUCUUUUUAUGAUGAAGCUUCGGUAGAUUCAAAAAAAGAAUAGUGGCGAACGGGUGAGUAACGCGUGGAUAAUCUGCCCUAAAGACAGGGAUAAGCUUCCGAAAGGGGGUUUAAUACCUGAUAAAAAAAUCAAAUUGCAUGAUUUGAUUUUCAAAGGUAGCUUUUUAAGCUUCUGUUUUAGGAUGAGUCCGCGUCCUAUCAGCUAGUUGGUGAGGUAAAUGCUCACCAAGGCGACGACGGGUAGCCGGUCUGAGAGGAUGUUCGGCCACACUGGGACUGAGAACGGCCCAGACUCCUACGGGAGGCAGCAGUAGGGAAUAUUGCGCAAUGGGCGAAAGCCUGACGCAGCGACACCGCGUGGAGGAUGAAGGUUUUCGGAUCGUAAACUCCUGUCAAUAGAGGAGGAAGGCAUAUAAGGUGAAUAGCCUUUUAUGUUGACAGUACUCUGUAAGGAAGCCCCGGCCAACUACGUGCCAGCAGCCGCGGUAAGACGUAGGGGGCGAGCGUUGUCCGGAAUCAUUGGGCGUAAAGCGCACGCAGGCGGCUUUCCAAGUCAAAUGUGAAAUCUCCUGGUAAAACUAGGAAAUUGCAUUCGAUACUGGAUCGCUUGAGUUCGGGAGAGGAGAGUGGAAUUCCCGGUGUAGCGGUGAAAUGCGCAGAUAUCGGGAGGAACACCAUUAGCGAAGGCGGCUCUCUGGAACGAUACUGACGCUAAGGUGCGAAAGCUAGGGGAGCAAACAGGAUUAGAUACCCUGGUAGUCCUAGCUGUAAACGUUGGGCACUAGAUGUAGGGAGAUAUUGACUCUCCCUGUAUCGUAGCUAACGCGUUAAGUGCCUCGCCUGGGGAGUACGACCGCAAGGUUAAAACUCAAAGGAAUUGACGGGGACCCGCACAAGCGGUGGAGCAUGUGGCUUAAUUCGAUGCAACACGAAGAACCUUACCAGGGCUUGACAUUUUGGUAGUAGCAAAUCGAAAGAUGAGCGACCCUUCGGGGAGCCAGAACAGGUGGUGCAUGGCUGUCGUCAGCUCGUGUCGUGAGAUGUUGGGUUAAGUCCCACAACGAGCGCAACCCUUGUCCCAUGUUGCUAACAUUUAGUUGAGGACUCUUGGGAGACUGCCGGUGUUAAACCGGAGGAAGGUGGGGAUGACGUCAAGUCAGCAUGUCCUUUAUGUCCUGGGCUGCACACGUGCUACAAUGGCCUGUACAAAGAGAAGCGAUACUGUGAAGUGGAGCAAAUCUCAAAAAACAGGUCUAAGUUCGGAUUGAAGUCUGCAAUUCGACUUCAUGAAGUUGGAAUCGCUAGUAAUCGCAGGUCAGCUAUACUGUGGUGAAUACGUUCCCGGGUCUUGUACACACCGCCUGUCACACCACGAAAGUCGGGAACACUUUAAGACGGUAUGUUAACUCGUAAGAGAGGCAGCUGUCCAAGGUGGGCUUGGUGAUUGGGGUGAAGUCAUAACAAGGUAGCCGUACCGGAAGGUGCGGCUG